ensembl:snRNA U1 U1 spliceosomal RNA
AUACUUACCUGGCAGGGGAGAUACCAUGAUCAUGAAGGUGGUUUUUCCAGGGCGAGGCUUAUCAAUUGCACUCCGGUUGUGCUGACCCCUGCGAUUUCCCCAAAUGUGGGAAACUCGACUGCAUAAUUUGUGGUAGUGGGGGACUGCUUCGUGGAAAAAGAAAAAAAAAGAAUGUCCUAU